rnacentral:ncRNA from 1 species
UUAAAGUUUUAUUCUUGCUUAUUAAUUUGUUUAUAAUUUAUUUUACAUGUAAAUUUUUGUGUGAAUUGUAUAUUAAAUUAAAAAUUUUAUACAUUUAAUUAUUCGCAGUAAUUGAUAUUAUGUAUUUAAGAAAUUAAGAAUUAGUAAUAUUAUUUAAUAUUGGUUAAAUUUGUGCCAGCAGCCGCGGUUAUACAUAAAAUAUAAAUAAAUUUUUUUGGUAGUAGUUAAAUUUUGAGUUCAUAAAUUAAUUUAAUUUUAUUAGGUGAAAUUUUAUGAUUAAAUUAGUUUAUAAUUAUUUUUGUUGAAGCUAGAAAAAUUUGGUUAAUAAACUAGGAUUAGAUACCCUAUUAUUUAAAUAGUAAUUAAAAAUACCUUAGUAGUAAUAGUUAUGUUCUUUAAACUAAAAGAAUUUGGCGGUAUUUUAAUCUAUUCAGAGGAACCUGUUCUGUAAUCGAUAAUCCACGAGGACUUUACUUAAGCUUGUUUACAACUUGUAUACCGCCGUUAUUGAUUAUCUUGUAAGAGUAAUAAUUUUCUUAAUUUUUUAAAAAAUAAUAUCAGGUCAAGGUGCAGUUUAUGUUUAAGGAAGAAAUGGGUUACAAUAAAUAUAUUUAAACGGAAAAGUUAUUGAAACAUAAUUUGGAAGGUGGAUUUGAUAGUAAAAUUUUGUAUAUAGUAAAUUUGAUUAUAGCUCUAAAAUAUGUACACAUCGCCCGUCGCUCUUAUUUCUUUAUUAAUAAUAUAAAAUAAGAUAAGUCGUAACACAGUAGAAUUACUGGAAAGUGAUUCUAGAAUGAC